CCAAAUCUUCACAGGCUGCUGCUUGCUGUUCUCUUUAAUUAUUUUAAUUAAACGUUGAUAUUCUGCAGCUGAGGGAAGCUAUAGGGUUGAGACUGGAGGGAAGCAGGGAGGUCCUUGGAGGAUUGGAGACAGAAGGGUAGAAGCAGGGAGGUCCGUGGAGGAUUGGAGACAGAAGGGUAGAAGCAGGGAGGUCAGUGGAGGAUUGGAGACAGAAGGGUAGAAGCAGGGAGGUCCUUGGAGGAUUGGAGACAGAAGGGUAGAAGCAGGGAGGUCCUUGGAGGAUUGGAGACAGAAGGGUAGAAGCAGGGAGGUCAGUGGAGGAUUGGAGACAGAAGGGUAGAAGCAGGGAGGUCCUUGGAGGAUUGGAGACAGAAGGGUAGAAGCAGGGAGGUCAGUGGAGGAUUGGAGACAGAAGGGUAGAAGCAGGGAUACCCUUGGAGGAUUGGAGACAGAAGGGUAGAAGCAGGGAGGUCCUUGGAGGAUUGGAGACAGAAGGGUAGAAGCAGGGAGGUCCUUGGAGGAUUGGAGACAGAAGGGUAGAAGCAGGGAGGUCAGUGGAGGAUUGGAGACAGAAGGGUAGAAGCAGGGAGGUCCUUGGAGGAUUGGAGACAGAAGGGUAGAAGCAGGGAGGUCCUUGGAGGAUUGGAGACAGAAGGGUAGAAGCAGGGAGGUCAGUGGAGGAUUGGAGACAGAAGGGUAGAAGCAGGGAGGUCAGUGGAGGAUUGGAGACAGAAGGGUAGAAGCAGGGAGGUCCUUGGAGGAUUGGAGACAGAAGGGUAGAAGCAGGGAGGUCCUUGGAGGAUUGGAGACAGAAGGGUAGAAGCAGGGAGGUCAGUGGAGGAUUGGAGACAGAAGGGUAGAAGCAGGGAGGUCCUUGGAGGAUUGGAGACAGAAGGGUAGAAGCAGGGAGGUCCUUGGAGGAUUGGAGACAGAAGGGUAGAAGCAGGGAGGUCAGUGGAGGAUUGGAGACAGAAGGGUAGAAGCAGGGAGGUCCUUGGAGGAUUGGAGACAGAAGGGUAGAAGCAGGGAGGUCCUUGGAGGAUUGGAGACAGAAGGGUAGAAGCAGGGAGGUCAGUGGAGGAUUGGAGACAGAAGGGUAGAAGCAGGGAGACCCUUGGAGGAUUGGAGACAGAAGGGUAGAAGCAGGGAGGUCCUUGGAGGAUUGGAGACAGAGGGGAAGGGUAGCAGUGACAUUGGAGACAGAGGGGUAAGGGUAGCAGUGACAUUGGAGACAGAGGGUAAGGGUAGCAGUGACAUUGGAGACAGAGGGGUAAGGGUAGCAGUGACAUUGGAGACAGAGGGUAAGGGUAGCAGUGACAUUAGAGACAGAGGGUAAGGGUAGCAGUGACAUUAGAGACAGAGGGUAAGGGGAGCAGUGACAUUGGAGACAGAGGGUAAGGGGAGCAGUGACAUUGGAGACAGAGGGGUAAGGGUAGCAGUGACAUUGGAGACAGAGGGUAAGGGUAGCAGUGACAUUGGAGACAGAGGGUAAGGGGAGCAGUGACAUUGGAGACAGAGGGGUAAGGGUAGCAGUGACAUUGGAGACAGAGGGGUAAGGGUAGCAGUGACAUUGGAGACAGAGGGGAAGGGUAGCAGUGACAUUGGAGACAGAGGGGUAAGGGUAGCAGUGACAUUGGAGACAGAGGGGUAAGGGGAGCAGUGACACUGG